AUUGCCCUAGUAACGGCGAGUGAAGCGGCAACAGCUCAAAUUUGAAAUCUGGCCCUCGGGUCCGAGUUGUAAUUUUGUAGAGGAUGCUUUUGGUGCGGUGCCUUCCGAGUUCCCUGGAACGGGACGCCAUAGAGGGUGAGAGCCCCGUCUGGUUGGAUGCCAAUCCUCUGUAAAGCUCCUUCGACGAGUCGAGUAGUUUGGGAAUGCUGCUCUAAAUGGGAGGUAUAUGUCUUCUAAAGCUAAAUAUUGGCCAGAGACCGAUAGCGCACAAGUAGAGUGAUCGAAAGAUGAAAAGCACUUUGAAAAGAGAGUUAAAAAGUACGUGAAAUUGUUGAAAGGGAAGCGCUUAUGACCAGACUUGGGCUUGGUUGAUCAUCCAGGGUUCUCCCCGGUGCACUCUUCCAGUCCAGGCCAGCAUCAGUUCGCUGCGGGGGAUAAAGGCUUCGGGAAUGUGGCUCCCUCGGGAGUGUUAUAGCCCGUUGUGUAAUACCCUGUGGUGGACUGAGGUUCGCGCAUCUGCAAGGAUGCUGGCGUAAUGGUCAUCAGCGACCCGUCUUGAAACACGGACCAAGGAGUCGUCUUCGUAUGCGAGUGUUCGGGUGUUAAACCCCUACGCGUAAUGAAAGUGAACGCAGGUGAGAGCUUCGGCGCAUCAUCGACCGAUCCUGAUGUUCUCGGAUGGAUUUGAGUAAGAGCAUACGGGGCCGGACCCGAAAGAAGGUGAACUAUGCCUGUAUAGGGUGAAGCCAGAGGAAACUCUGGUGGAGGCUCGCAGCGGUUCUGACGUGCAAAUCGAUCGUCAAAUAUGGGCA
rnacentral:rRNA from 1 species